rnacentral:tRNA from 1 species
GUUAGAUUAGCAAAGUUUAGUGCAAAUAAUUUAGAAUUAUUUUAGGAGUUAAUAAAUCUCAUCUAAUA